AGCUAGAUGCAUUUAUAUUUGGUAAUUUCUGCUCAAUGGUUGAUCUAAAUAGCCGCAGUACCCUGACUGUGCAAAGGUAGCAUAAUCAAUUGGCUUAUAAUUGAAGUCUGGCAUGAAGGAAUCCAUGGGUAAACGCUGUCUCUUAAGGUAUAGUUGAAAUUACUUAGUAAGUGCAAAUACUUACAGGAAAUAAAAGACGAGAAGACCCUAGAAAUUUUUUUUAAAGAAUAUGUAUCUAUCAAAUUUUGUUGGGGCGACAGAAUAACAUUAAACUUAUUUUUAAAAAAUGUGAACUUAAUGGUGAGGUAAAUUAAAUUACUCUAGGGAUAACAGCAUAAUUUAGUGUAAGUUUGUGACCUCGAUGUUGGACUAGGAAUUUUACUAACCAGAAGUUACUAAAUCAAGCUCUGUUCGAGCCCUUAUUCCUAC
rnacentral:rRNA from 1 species